rnacentral:rRNA from 1 species
UCAGGCCUAACACAUGCAAGUCGAGCGGUAACAGGGGGAGCUUGCUCCCCGCUGACGAGCGGCGGACGGGUGAGUAAUGCUUAGGAAACUGCCCAGUAGUGGGGGAUAGCCCGGGGAAACCCGGAUUAAUACCGCAUACGUCCUUCGGGAGAAAGCAGGGGAUCUUCGGACCUUGCGCUAUUGGAUGUGCCUAUGUCGGAUUAGCUAGUUGGUGAGGUAAUGGCUCACCAAGGCGACGAUCCGUAGCUGGUCUGAGAGGAUGAUCAGCCACAUCGGGACUGAGACACGGCCCGAACUCCUACGGGAGGCAGCAGUGGGGAAUAUUGGACAAUGGGGGAAACCCUGAUCCAGCCAUGCCGCGUGUGUGAAGAAGGCUUUCGGGUUGUAAAGCACUUUCAGUGAGGAGGAAAAGUUAGUCCCUAAUACGGGCUAGCCUUGACGUUACUCACAGAAGAAGCACCGGCUAA